UCCGGUUUGUCACCGGCAGUCUCGCAUGAGUCCCCAACUAAAUGCUGGCAACAUGCGACGGGGGUUGCGCUCGUUGCGGGACUUAACCCAACAUCUCACGGCACGAGCUGACGACAGCCGUGCAGCACCUGUGCAAGCUCCCUUGCGGGUCCCUUCCGUUUCCGGUCAGUACCACCUGCAUGUCAAGCCCGGGUAAGGCUCUUCGCGUUGCAUCGAAUUAAACCACACGCUCCGCUGCUUGUGCGGGCCCCCGUCAAUUCCUUUGAGUUUUAACCUUGCGGCCGUACUCCCCAGGCGGUCAACUUCACGCGUUAGCUUCGUUACCAAGGAAUUGCUUCCCCGACAACCAGUUAACAUGGUUUAGGGCGUGGACUAC
rnacentral:misc_RNA from 1 species